rnacentral:rRNA from 1 species
AGAGUUUGAUUCUGGCUCAGGAUGAACGCUGGCGGCGUGCUUAACACAUGCAAGUCGAACGAGGUCCAACCUUCGGGUGAAGACCGAGUGGCGAACGGGUGAGUAACACGUGGGGAACCUGCCCUUCUCUCUGGGAUAACCUCGGGAAACCGAAGCUAAUACCGGAUACUCCUUGCGGACCGCAUGGUCUGCUCGGGAAAGCUCCGGCGGAGAAGGAUGGCCCCGCGGCCCAUUAGCUUGUUGGUGGGGUAACGGCCCACCAAGGCGACGAUGGGUAGCCGAGCUGAGAGGCUGAUCGGCCACACUGGGACUGAGACACGGCCCAGACUCCUACGGGAGGCAGCAGUGGGGAAUCUUGCGCAAUGGGCGAAAGCCUGACGCAGCAACGCCGCGUGCGGGAUGAAGGCUCUCGGGUCGUAAACCGCUUUCAGCAGGGAUGAAAAUGACAGUACCUGCAGAAGAAGCCCCGGCUAAAUACGUGCCAGCAGCCGCGGUAAUACGUAUGGGGCAAGCGUUAUCCGGAUUCAUUGGGCGUAAAGCGCGCGUAGGCGGCUUGUUAAGUCAGGCGUGAAAUCCGGGGGCUCAACCCGCGGCUUGCGUCUGAAACUGGCAGGCUUGAGUCUGGUAGAGGAAAGUGGAAUUCCUGGUGUAGCGGUGAAAUGCGCAGAUAUCAGGAGGAACACCAGUGGCGAAGGCGGCUUUCUGGGCCACGACUGACGCUGAGGCGCGAAAGCUAGGGGAGCGAACAGGAUUAGAUACCCUGGUAGUC